rnacentral:rRNA from 1 species
CGUAGAGAAAUCGAGUCUUAAUAGGGCGUUUAGUUGCUGGGUAUAGACCCGAAACCAGGCGAUCUAUCCAUGAGCAGGUUGAAGGUUGGGUAACACUAACUGGAGGACCGAACCCACUGUCGUUGAAAAGCCAGGGGAUGACUUGUGGAUAGGGGUGAAAGGCUAAUCAAGCCUGGUGAUAGCUGGUUCUCCCCGAAAGCUAUUUAGGUAGCGCCUCGGACGAAUACCAUAGGGGGUAGAGCACUGUUUCGGCUAGGGGGUCAUCCCGACUUACCAAACCGAUGCAAACUCCGAAUACCUAUGAGUACUAUCCGGGAGACAGACUGCGGGUGCUAACGUCCGUAGUCAAGAGGAAAACAAUCCAGACCGCCAGCUAAGGCCCCAAAAUCAUAGUUAAGUGGGAAACGAUGUGGGAAGGCAUAGACAGCUAGGAGGUUGGCUUAGAAGCAGCCACCCUUUAAAG